AAAUUUACAAAUUUAGGCUGUGUGUUAAAUAAGGUGUUAAAUUGAGCCCAAAUGUGGUCUGGUGUAUUGAACCUCCACGACUCCCAAUAGUCCUCUCCUCUCAAUCUCUCUCUCUAUCUCCUUCUCCGGCAAACUCAUCGGCGAUCCGCGAAUUUGUGUUACGCUCUCGGAUGUGUGCUGAUUACCGGGUAGCUUCCAAUUCCACAGAAGAUGUCACUUUCCAGGCUUUCUGGAAGACUCAAUCUUUUCCUUUCUUUAAACAGGAAUUAUCAUUAUCCGCUUCCCACAUCCAGGAACCAGCUUGAAAUUGUAGUGUCAAAAGAUAGAAACCUUGGGGCACUUGACAUCAGAUAUGGACAACUCUUUGAUUUUGGAUGUCGAGGUUUCACAUCAAGGUGUGAUCUUAACAAGUCUACAAUUGAUAACUGCAAAGGGUUGUCCCUUUUGAGAGGGCAGAAUACAGCUAGGUCUUGGCAAAUGUUGAAUCUUCGUCAUCAUUAUGCAUCUCAGGCUGCUACUGCAACGGAGAAGAAAUCAAAGAAGAUGCUCUAUUACUUGACGGGUUUGGUAUUUGCUAUGGUAGGGGCUAGUUAUGCUGCAGUUCCUCUGUACAGGAGAUUCUGUCAAGCCACAGGAUAUGGAGGUACAGUUCAACGUCGUGAGAGCGUUGAAGAAAAGAUUGCGCGGCAUGCAAAAGAUGGAAGAGUUGCUUCUAGGGAGAUUGCUGUACAAUUCAAUGCUGAUGUAGCGGAUGGAAUGCCUUGGAAGUUUAUUCCAACACAGCGAGAGGUAAAGGUAAAACCAGGGGAGAGCGCUCUUGCCUUUUACACUGCUGAAAAUCGAAGCUCGGCUCCUAUUACAGGCGUAUCAACAUACAAUGUAACCCCCAUGAAGCACCUAGGAACACUGUUUCAACUAGUCCUUUUGAAUUACAAGAGACAAUUAAGAGCUGUCGAUCCGAAAUGGGGUUGCCCAUUCAAGGGACAUUGUCAUCUCCUCCUAGUGGCCCCAAAACAGAGAUGAUUAAUGUGAGAUACAACUUGCAAUUUCUUCUUCCGCAAUUGAAAGUUUCUCAUCCUUGUAUUCUGGAAAGAUGUAUUAUAUGAUGAAAGACCUAGAUCAUUAAGCUGGAGUGUAGUGCUCAGGAGAUAUGUGCAGGAUUGGGAGAUGGGGAGUCUGCUUGAACUACUUGCUAAUGUGGAGAAAUAUAAUAUGAAUGACACAUGUGCUGAUACAUUGUUAUGGGGAACAAAUAACUCUUUCACUGUGAAAGAUUGUUAUCAUCAUAUAUGCUGCCAGAAUCAGAUCACUGAGGUUUGGCCCUGGAAACUUAUUUGGAAGACCAAAAUGCCUACCAAGAUCAUCUGCUUUUGUUGGAUUGCCGUCCAGGAAUCAUGGUUAACAAUAGAUAAUCUGAACAAAAAAGGCCUCGAACUGGAAGAUAAUUCAGUGCUAAAUACAGGGGUUAGAUUAACCCAACUGAACAGAAGAAAUAGACAACUAGCUUCAAGAGAGCGGUUUGGAGUUGAAAUCCCAUCAAAACAUCUACGGUUCCUUUCAGUCCAUAAACUCCAAAAAAUAACUCCAGGGAUCAUCACCCAACUUUCUUGAUGGACUUAUCAACUCCAUGAAUUCCAGCCUGCUUAAGCCUCUUUCACAUUUUGUGGCAUGGCCCAUUGUAAGCCAAAAAUACAGCAGAACAUAUUCCAUAGGUCCCUUGCCACUGCACAGUGAAGGAGCAGGCUGCAGUGUAUUUCAAUAAAAUACAGUGUUUUUGCUUUGAGGAACAGCGAUUGCUUCCAGGAGAGCAGAUUGACAUGCCU